GACGAACGCUGGCGGCGUGCUUAACACAUGCAAGUCGAACGGAAAGGCCCUGCUUGCAGGGUACUCGAGUGGCGAACGGGUGAGUGACACGUGGGUGAUCUGCCCUGCACUUCGGGAUAAGCUUGGGAAACUGGGUCUAAUACCGGAUAGGAGCCAUCUUUAGUGUGGUGGUUGGAAAGUUUUUUCGGUGUAGGAUGAGCUCGCGGCCUAUCAGCUUGUUGGUGGGGUAAUGGCCUACCAAGGCGGCGACGGGUAGCCGGCCUGAGAGGGUGUACGGCCACAUUGGGACUGAGAUACGGCCCAGACUCCUACGGGGGGCAGCAGUGGGGAAUAUUGCACAAUGGGCGCGAGCCUGAGGCAGCGACGCCGCGUGGGGGAUGAAGGCCUUCGGGUUGUAAACUCCUUUCGCUAGGGACGAAGCUUUUUUGUGACGGUACCUAGAGAAGAAGCACCGGCUAACUACGUG
rnacentral:rRNA from 1 species